UCCGGGCUCCGAGGCCCCGCCCCCUAGGAGGCCGCGGGUCCUGGAGGGCCCCGGGUGUGCGGCGCGCGCCCCGCCGGGCGGUAGUCAGUCGUGUCCGCCAUGCAGACCCCCGAGAGCCGGCCGGCGCCGCCCCGGCUGCCCCCGCACGACCCGGGCACGCCGGCGCUGUCGGUGGUGGACAUGCACACGGGCGGCGAGCCCCUGCGCAUCGUGCUGGCGGGGUGUCCGGAGGUGGCGGGCCCCACGCUGCUGGCCAAGCGGCGCUACAUGCGCCAGCACCUGGACCACGUGCGGCGGCGGCUCGUGCACGAGCCCCGCGGGCACCGGGACAUGUACGCGGCCGUGCUGGUGCCGAGCGAGCUGCCGGGCGCGCACCUGGGCGUCCUGUUCCUGCACAACGAAGGCUACAGCUCCAUGUGCGGCCACGCCGUGCUGGCGCUCGGCCGCUUCGCGCUGGACUUCGGGCUGGUGGCCGCGCCCCCUGCCGGCGCCCGCGAGGCCCGCGUCCACAUCCACUGCCCGUGCGGGCUGGUGGCCGCCUUCGUGGAGUGCGAGGGCGGCCGCAGCCUCGGCCCGGUGCGCUUCCACAGCGUCCCGGCCUUCGUGCUGGCCACAGAUCUGCUGGUCGAUGUUCCUGGUCACGGGAAGGUGGUGGUGGACAUUGCAUAUGGUGGCGCAUUUUACGCAUUUGUUAGUGCUGAAAAGUUAGGCCUCGAUGUUUGUUCUGCAAAGACAAGGGACCUUGUGGAUGCAGCAAGUACAGUGACAGAAGCAGUGAAAGCUCAGUUUAAAAUUACACAUCCUGAAAGUGAAGACCUUGCCUUUCUGUACGGAACUAUAUUAACUGAUGGAAAAGACGCUUACAGUGAGGAGCCAACCACCAACCUUUGUGUGUUUGCAGAUGCGCAGGUGGACCGGAGUCCUACGGGCUCAGGGGUGACAGCCCGCAUUGCCUUACAGUAUCACAAAGGGCUUCUGGAACUGAACCAGACCAGAGCCUUUAAAAGCAGCGCCACUGGCUCCGUGUUCACCGGGAAGGCUGUGAGGCUUCCUUAUCCUGCCCUUCCGUUUACAAGCCCCCAGCAUUUUAUCCUUAGCGUCCUUCUCAUCUCAUCUGCUAUUUGAUGCCACUGGGCAAUUUCACCCACUUCUGAAGUUUCAACUCUCAGCCACCCACUGAUGACUUCUAAACCUUCCUCCCUCCCAUGCCUACCCUGGGCUUCUCUCCUGAGUCUAACAGGAAGCAAAGUGCGGGGAUUUUAAUGCAGUGAUAGUGGAAGUCUCUGGACGAGCCCAUUACACGGGUACAGCAAGCUUCACCAUAGAAGACGAUGACCCACUGAGGGAUGGGUUUCUUCUCAAGUGACUUCCAUGGCUUUUAAAGGCUUUCUUUUUAAGCAAUCAGUACCUGUCAGUAAUUUUCAUCUGAAAUAUUUGGAAAUCUAUAUCCAAAUUGUAUAAUACAUGUAA